GGGCUCGUAGCCUAGUCUGGAUAGGGCGACAAUAAUUGAGCUAAUAACUCGUUAUUCGCUAAAGCCUUCUAAGCUGUAGAUCGCGGGUUCGAAGGUAAGCCCUUCUUUAGAAAAGAAGGUUUUACAAUCCCAAGAAACUACUAUUACGAAAAUCCUGCCGGGCCCA
rnacentral:tRNA from 1 species